GCUCAGAGCGAACGCUGGCGGCAGGCUUAACACAUGCAAGUCGAGCGGACCUUUCGGGGUCAGCGGCGGACGGGUGAGUAACGCGUGGGAACGUGCCUUCCGGUUCGGAAUAACCCUGGGAAACUAGGGCUAAUACCGGAUACGCCCUUAUGGGGAAAGGUUUACUGCCGGAAGAUCGGCCCGCGUCUGAUUAGCUAGUUGGUGGGGUAACGGCCUACCAAGGCGACGAUCAGUAGCUGGUCUGAGAGGAUGAUCAGCCACACUGGGACUGAGACACGGCCCAGACUCCUACGGGAGGCAGCAGUGGGGAAUAUUGGACAAUGGGCGCAAGCCUGAUCCAGCCAUGCCGCGUGAGUGAUGAAGGCCUUAGGGUUGUAAAGCUCUUUUAUCCGGGACGAUAAUGACGGUACCGGAG
rnacentral:rRNA from 1 species